UCGAAAUCACUCGCAUUUUCCCCUCUUUCUGGAAAUCGCUCGCGUUCUCUUCCUCACAGAACCUCUCACUUGCAGUCUCCCACCGUCAAAAUCGCGUUUCUCCCUCUUCCUCCCACAACAACUCACAGAACCCUUCCACUUCCAUUUUCCCCUCUCUUGAAAUCACUUGCAUUUUUUUUCCUCUUCCUCACACAACCUCUCAUUUGCACUCUCCCACUGUCAAAAUCGCGUUUCUCCCUCUUCCUCCCAUAACUCAGAACCCUUCCACUUCAACUCUCACACCGGCAUUUCGUUAGUGUGGCUAUCACUCACUGUCGUCGUCAUUCACUAUCGGCGGUGACUCUUCAGUGCAAAUCUUUCUUCCCACUUCCACCCCCAAAAUCUAGGGUUUCAUCUAUCUAACCCUUUUUUCUUUCUUUGGUUUUGCGCUCCAAUAAUAUUUGGUUUUCAAUUUGCUCACUCGCUUUUGGUUUUUUCGUGGUCAUGUCUUUAAUGUGUUUUGAUGGUUGUAAUUGAUUCAAAUUUCUGGCUUUUUAGGUUUUCCAGGGUUUAGGAAUGGCUAUGGGAAUGGUUAAAUGGAAAGCACAUCUAUAGUCAACAUGAACCUAUGCCUAAAAAGGUUCUUGACUUGAUGAAUGUUGAAAAGCUUACAUGGGGGAAUGUGGCCCACCACCUUCAGGCAUUGAUGAUAUUGUUCUAUUCAUAGAGCAUACGAUAAGGCUGCUAUCAUGGAGUAAAUGCUGAUAUAAACUUUAGUUUGGGAGAUUAUGAGGAGGAUUUGAAGCAGAUGAGAAUUUUUACAAAGGAAGAGUUUGUGCUUGUUCUUCAUCGACAAAUCAGUGAAAUAUUGAGGAGAAACGCAACUCACAUAAGUGCUUUAGCUCUUCACAAAGGUGGUCAAGGAGAACAAAGUAUAAGACCAUUUAUUAGCAAGACGUGGAAAUGCUGAGAAGGACCAUGCUUGUUAGGAGAGAUUUAAGGACAUGGACUUCCGAAGAAGUGUUUUUAAAGUAGACAGAAACAACCCAGUUUAGAUGUGGCUACAAAAACUGCUACGAUACUUGCAAUUGUGCCUUCAUAGUAAUAGGUUCUAUAUUCUGGUUUUACAAGAAGACGUUGCCCCUCCUAUUGUCAAUCAUAGUUAUUCACUCAUUUUAUUGAAAGUUGAAACUAAUGACAAUAACCUUAUAUAAUAUUAUAUUGUAUUUAUAAGU